CCUAUAGAAAAAAUGUUCCAUGUCAACCUCUUCCACGGUUGCCGUAAUUAAUUUUCUCUUUGGGAA
rnacentral:pre_miRNA from 1 species